UCGAGCGGGAAUCGGAGGCGGAAUUUUUCGGAAGGAAGCCUUUGUGUUUUAGCGGCGGACGGGUGAGUAACGCGUGGAUAACCUGCCCCAUACCGGGGGAUAACAGUUAGAAAUGACUGCUAAUACCGCAUAAGCGCACGGAGCCGCAUGGCGCAGUGUGAAAAACUCCGGUGGUAUGGGAUGGAUCCGCGUCUGAUUAGCUAGUUGGCGGGGUAACGGCCCACCAAGGCAGCGAUCAGUAGCCGACCUGAGAGGGUGGCCGGCCACAUUGGGACUGAGACACGGCCCAAACUCCUACGGGAGGCAGCAGUGGGGAAUAUUGCACAAUGGGGGAAACCCUGAUGCAGCAACGCCGCGUGAGUGAAGAAGUAUUUCGGUAUGUAAAGCUCUAUCAGCAGGGAAGAAGAAGGACGGUACCUGACUAAGAAGCCCCGGCUAACUACGUGCCAGCAGCCGCGGUAAUACGUAGGGGGCGAGCGUUAUCCGGAUUUACUGGGUGUAAAGGGAGCGUAGACGGUUAAUCAAGUCUGAAGUGAAAGCCCGCGGCUCAACUGCGGAACGGCUUUGGAAACUGAGUAACUGGAGUGCUGGAGGGGCAGGCGGAAUUCCUGGUGUAGCGGUGAAAUGCGUAGAUAUCAGGAGGAACACCGGUGGCGAAGGCGGCCUGCUGGACAGUAACUGACGUUGAGGCUCGAAAGCGUGGGGAGCAAACAGGAUUAGAUACCCUGGUAGUCCACGCGGUAAACGAUGAAUGCUAGGUGUCGGUGAGCAAAGCUCAUCGGUGCCGUCGCAAACGCAGUAAGCAUUCCACCUGGGGAGUACGUUCGCAAGAAUGAAACUCAA
rnacentral:rRNA from 1 species